GCCUCUGUGGUGCAAUGGGUUAGUGUCUUUGGUUAUUAACUGAAAAGCUGGUGGUUCAAGCCCACCCAAAGACC
rnacentral:tRNA from 1 species